rnacentral:rRNA from 1 species
GAGAUUUUCGCAAUGCCCGAAAGGGUGACGAAGCGACGCCGCGUGGAGGAUGAAGGCCUUCGGGUUGUAAACUCCUGUCACUCGGGAAGAAACGCGCAGGGACUAAUAAUCUCGGCGUUUGACGUUACCGGGAAAGGAAGCGCCGGCAAACUUCGUGCCAGCAGCUGCGGUAAUACGAAGGGCGCAAGCGUUGUUCGGAAUCACUGGGCUUAAAGGGCACGUAGGCGGGGGGACAAAUCAGGGGUGAAAUCCCGGUCUUCAAAGCCGGAACUGCCUCUAAAAAUGUCCCUCUUGAGUGCAGGAGGGGAGAGUGGAACUCUUGGUGGAGCGGUGAAAUGCGUAGAUAUCAAGGGGAACGCCGGCGGCGAAAGCGACUCUCUGGACUGCUACUGACGCUGAGGUGCGAAAGCUAGGGGAGCAAAAAGGAUUAGAUACCCUUGUAGUCCUAGCUGUAAACGAUGGGCACUAAGUAGAGGGGUUUUA